rnacentral:lncRNA from 1 species
AGGAGUCGUGGUGGUGUCUGUAGUUGUGCUGGCAGUGGCUGUCGUCUUAAUAUCAGCUGCAGUUGUGGUGGCAGGUGGCUGCUGUUGUGGUAGCGGAUAAAGUUGUGGUGGCAGGGGUUGUCUUAGCAGUGUCUACAGUUGUGGUGGUAGCGGCUGUUGUCGUAGUGGCAGCUGCAGUUGUGGUUGAAGCUGCUGCUCUUGUGGUACCAGCUGGAGUUGUGGUGGCAGUUGCUACUGUUGUAGUGGCUGCUGUAGUUGAAGUGGCGGCUACAGUUGUGGUGGUGGCGGCUGCUGUUGCUGUGGUUGCAGGGGCUGUUGUAUAUAUGGCUGCAGUUGUGGUGGCAGGGGCUGUCGUAGGGACGUCUGCAGUUACGGUGGCAGGGGC